GGAUGCGAUCAUACCAGCACUAAAGCACCGUAUCCCAUCAGAACUCCGUAGUUAAGCGUGCUUGGGCGAGAGUAGUACUAAGAUGGGUGACCUCCUGGGAAGUCCUCGUGUUGCAUUCC
rnacentral:rRNA from 1 species